rnacentral:rRNA from 1 species
GAUUGGACUCCUACGGGAGGCAGCAGUGGGGAAUAUUGCACAAUGGGGGGAACCCUGAUGCAGCCAUGCCGCGUGAAUGAAGAAGGCCUUCGGGUUGUAAAGUUCUUUCGGUAGCGAGGAAGGCAUUUAGUUUAAUAGACUAGAUGAUUGACGUUAACUACAGGAGAAGCACCGGCUAACUCCGUGCCAGCAGCCGCGGUAAUACGGGGGGUGCGAGCGUUAAUCGGAAUAACUGGGCGUAAAGGGCACGAAGGCGGUGGCCUAAGUUUGAUGUGAAAGCCCCGGGCUUAACCUGGGAAUUGCAUUUCAUACUGGGUCGCUAGAGUACUUUAGGGAGGGGUAGAAUUCCACGUGUAGCGGUGAAAUGCGUAGAGAUGUGGAGGAAUACCGAAGGCGAAGGCAGCCCCUUGGGAAUGUACUGACGCUCAUGUGCGAAAGCGUGGGGAGCAAACAGGAUUAGAUACCCUUGUAGUCCU